CACGCCUGCCAGUUGAACAUUUAAACGGCCGCCGGUUACCCUAACCGUGCAAAGGUAGCAUAAUCCAUUUUGUCCUACUAAUUAUAGACCUGUAUGAAUGGCAAAAUGAGGGUCUAACUGUCUCUUAUAAUAAAUCAAUUAAACUGAUCUCCUAGUAAAAAAGCUAGAAUACACACAUAAGACCAGAAGACCCUGUGAAGCUUAAACUAAACUAUUAAACCCACUAAUAGCUACUUUCGGUUGGGGCGACCUUGGAAAAAAAAAGAACUUCCAAACAUAUGACCUACCUCAACACCACAAGGCCAACAAGCCAAAAAACGACCCAGCACAGCUGAUAAAUGAACCAAGUUACUCCAGGGAUAACAGCGCAAUCUUCUUCAAGAGCCCAUAUCAAAAAGAAGGCUUACGACCUCGAUGUUGGAUCAGGACAUCCUAAUGGUGCAGCCGCUAUUAAAGGUUCGUUUGUUCAACGAUUAACAGUCCUACGUGAUCUGAUUCC
rnacentral:rRNA from 1 species